GCGGAGGAAGAGGUGGGCGUGGCCUCCCGGUCGUCAUGGAGACGGGAUGCGUGGAGGGGAGAUGGAGGUCCGGAGCCGCCGGGCUUCCUCGGGCACCGAGGCGGAGCAGGAAUCCCCCGGAGCGGGCCCGGCCCGGACCAGGAUGGCCAAGCUGGAGGACUUUCUGGCCCCGGAGGAGGCGGCCCGGCCCGCUGGGAGUGACCUCAUCCGGAAAACGGGGAUGAAGACCGGG